rnacentral:rRNA from 1 species
GCGAUGGGGUGACGCAGGAAGGUAGUCCAGCCCGGGCGGUGGUUGUCCCGGGGUAAGGGUGUAGGCCGAGUGGUAGGCAAAUCCGUCACUCAUUAAGCUGAGACCUGAUGCCGAGCCGAUUGUGGUGAAGUGGAUGAUCCUAUGCUGUCGAGAAAAGCCUCUAGCGAGUUUCAUGGCGGCCCGUACCCCAAACCGACUCAGGUGGUCAGGUAGAGAAUACCGAGGCGUUCGGGUGAACUAUGGUUAAGGAACUCGGCAAAAUGCCCCCGUAACUUCGGGAGAAGGGGGGCCAUUCCUGGUGACGAGUCUUGCACUCUGAGCUGGGGGUGGCCGCAGAGACCAGCGAGAAGCGACUGUUUACUAAAAACACAGGUCCGUGCGAAGCCGUAAGGCGAUGUAUACGGACUGACGCCUGCCCGGUGCUGGAACGUUAAGGGGACCGGUUAGCUUGGAUUCGUCCAGGCGAAGCUGAGAACUUAAGCGCCAGUAAACGGCGGUGGUAACUAUAACCAUCCUAAGGUAGCGAAAUUCCUUGUCGGGUAAGUUCCGACCUGCACGAAUGGCGUAACGACUUCUCGACUGUCUCAACCAUAGGCCCGGUGAAAUUGCAUUACGAGUAAAGAUGCUCGUUUCGCGCAGCAGGACGGAAAGACCCCGGGACCUUUACUAUAGCUUGAUAUUGGUGUUCGGUUCGGCUUGUGUAGGAUAGGUGGGAGACUUUGAAGCGGCAACGCCAGUUGUUGUGGAGUCGUCGUUGAAAUACCACUCUGGUCGUGCUGGAUGUCUAACCUGGGUCCGUGAUCCGGAUCAGGGACAGUGUCUGGUGGGUAGUUUAACUGGGGCGGUUGCCUCCUAAAGGGUAACGGAGGCGCCCAAAGGUUCCCUCAGCCUGGUUGGCAAUCAGGUGUUGAGUGUAAGUGCACAAGGGAGCUUGACUGUGAGACUGACGGGUCGAGCAGGUACGAAAGUAGGGACUAGUGAUCCGGCGGUGGCUUGUGGAAGCGCCGUCGCUCAACGGAUAAAAGGUACCCCGGGGAUAACAGGCUGAUCUUCCCCAAGAGUCCAUAUCGACGGGAUGGUUUGGCACCUCGAUGUCGGCUCGUCGCAUCCUGGGGCUGGAGUAGGUCCCAAGGGUUGGGCUGUUCGCCCAUUAAAGCGGUACGCGAGCUGGGUUUAGAACGUCGUGAGACAGUUCGGUCCCUAUCCGCUGUGCGCGUAGGAGUGUUGAGAAGGGCUGUCCCUAGUACGAGAGGACCGGGACGGACGAACCUCUGGUGUGCCAGUUGUCCUGCCAAGGGCAUGGCUGGUUGGCUACGUUCGGGAGGGAUAACCGCUGAAAGCAUCUAAGCGGGAAGCCUGCUUCGAGAUGAGCACUCCCACCUCCUUGAGAGGGUAAGGCUCCCAGUAGACGACUGGGUUGAUAGGCCGGAUAUGGAAGCCCUGUGAGGGGUGGAGUUGACCGGUACUAAUAGGCCGAGGGCUUGUCCU